UUACCCAAGCUAAUCAGAAGAGGUGGAGAACCUAUUCAGAUUAUGAUUACAAAUGCAAUACGGUCUUUCUCUAAUACAAUACUCUUGACCACAUUGUUUGGUUUGAUAGUUUAUUCAUGUUUACUAUCCAAUGUGAUUCGUGUGCUUAUAUGAUUACCUUGAAUGUGAUUUGGAACGACUUCCUAAAUCUCAUUCAUACUCUGGCCAGAGAUUCUUAAUCAUAUCAUAGAGAUCCCUUGUUGCGCAUUCACUUGCCUCCAUGGAUAAGUGGCUUAACCCCGACGAUGCCGUGGACACCCGCCUGAUGGAGUGACUUUGACAUAAUCAAAGAUCAAGGACUUAACCACAAGACAACUAUGAUGCCUCAGGUCAAAGGACUACUUUGCAUUCCCAACCAUGAGUUCUCAUGUGACAUGAGUAUGAGAACUCCUCGUUGAUCGUGUUCAGUGGACUCAUUCAUUAUUGAGCACCUACAUGCUUGUCUUGAUGUCACACACACCAAUGACUCGAGACUAGUCACUCUCCCUAAGAGAAGACACAACACGUACUGAUCUUAACGGACUGUCAAUGCCUAAUUGGCAAUCCUAUGAUCAGGAACGUUUAGGAUGUGUCUACGAAAGAAUGGUCUCAUGAAUCUAACUUCUUUAGAUCGCAUUCUCCCAAUCACAUAUUCCUUGGACUUAUCGUUUAGGCGUAUAACAUUUAUAUGAGACGGCUCAAACAAUAAUCUUUGCCCUUGAUAUUAAACUAGAUUAGUUUAACAUGUGAAAUGUCCGUAAAGUAUCAUCAUAUGAUUGGUUUUAGGGCACAUUUCCAACAUAAGGUCCUCAUUCUCCAAUGGAAGCCACGGCAAGACUUCUUCUUCUCCAAAGGCUGCGGCAAAACUUGUAGAAUGAUGUGGGUUAUGC
rnacentral:lncRNA from 1 species